rnacentral:rRNA from 1 species
UGACUUUGGGAUAAGCCUGGGAAACUGGGUCUAAUACCGGAUAUGACCAUGGGAUGCAUGUUCUGUGGUGGAAAGCUUUUGCGGUUGGGGAUGGGCCCGCGGCCUAUCAGCUUGUUGGUGGGGUAAUGGCCUACCAAGGCGACGACGGGUAGCCGACCUGAGAGGGUGAUCGGCCACACUGGGACUGAGACACGGCCCAGACUCCUACGGGAGGCAGCAGUGGGGAAUAUUGCACAAUGGGCGCAAGCCUGAUGCAGCGACGCCGCGUGAGGGAUGACGGCCUUCGGGUUGUAAACCUCUUUCAGUAGGGACGAAGCUUCGGUGACGGUACCUGCAGAAGAAGCACCGGCCAACUACGUGCCAGCAGCCGCGGUAAUACGUAGGGUGCGAGCGUUGUCCGGAAUUACUGGGCGUAAAGAGCUCGUAGGCGGUUUGUCGCGUCGUCCGUGAAAUUCUGCAACUCAAUUGCAGGCGUGCAGGCGAUACGGGCAGACUUGAGUACUACAGGGGAGACUGGAAUUCCUGGUGUAGCGGUGAAAUGCGCAGAUAUCAGGAGGAACACCGGUGGCGAAGGCGGGUCUCUGGGUAGUAACUGACGCUGAGGAGCGAAAGCGUGGGUAGCGAACAGGAUUAGAUACCCUGGUAGUCCACGCCGUAAACGGUGGGUACUAGGUGUGGGUUCCAUUUCACGGGAUCCGUGCCGUAGCUAACGCAU